CGCGGGUAAACGGCGGGAGUAACUAUGACUCUCUUAAGGUAGCCAAAUGCCUCGUCAUCUAAUUCCGCCCGGUGCUCUGAGUGUC
rnacentral:ncRNA from 1 species